AUGGCCCAUCCUUUCUCUGCCCAGACAGCCUACUUCCCCAUCUGCAGUCCUUUGACUUCUCAGUUCAACACCCUGGCCCUGGGGAGCGAGCCUCAAGACUCCACUCCCAGGAGAACCCUCCAGGGGGCGCUCUCAUCCCCAGAGUCAAAGCUGGGCAGCGAGACUGGGAAAAAUGACUGGAAUAGAGGAACUAGCUCUGUGACCUGGACAAAAAGACAAGAAAGCAGGAGCCGUUCCAGAUGUUUCUGCUCCCUCCCGCCCCCGGCGUGGUCUGAGUGAACCCAGGGACAGGGACAGGAAGAGAUGCUCCCCAGGGACUCUGGUCCUGGCUGAGUCACCUGGCCUGGAUGUCCAGUUCACGCUACCUCUCUGUUACUCACUGACCAAGAAUAUGACUUAAUUCCCCGUGGGCGAUACCACCAGGCAUAUAAAGAAAUGGGUGAUGACCGUGACACAGAAGCUAAAAGCCUCAAUUACCCUUCGCAACAGGAACCGGGGACAUUUUUAUGAAGAGAGAAAUUUUUGCCUCAUAAAUCGCACUUGUGAGAAAUCCAGCCCACGCUGCUGGUGACCUUGUCACAUCUUCCACAGCCAGAGGCAGCCCCACAGAUGGCGGGGAUCACCUCAGCCUCACCCCUGCCCAUUAAGCCCAAGUAUGUGUUCUAGAGAGUGUAUGGGGGUCAGCCAGGGCCAGGAUGAGGCCAGGAUAGGCAGCCGGAAUGCAAGUAUAUUCCCAGCUCUCAACCUGGCUCCCUCUGUUGGUCUCAACUGCAGGGCAUGGGCAUAAGAAGAGGGUCUUUAAAAAGUCUUCUUGACGGGGUCCCACCCCCAGAGAUUCUGAUGUAACUGGUCCAGGGUGGGGCCUGGGCACUGGGAGCUUUAAAAGCCGCCCAGGUGAUUCUGAUGUACAGCCAAGUUGAGAGCUUACCCCUACCCUGCCCUGCCAGUCGAUGAAUCAACAGCAAGCUUUUAGCAAGUGCAAGCUGGUGGGAGGGGGGAGACCAGAAACAGGACACAGUUUCUGCCCAGGCUCAUUUACAUGAAGCCAUAAUGCGGACUCCCCACACCCCACGGGCAACAGAGACCCUGUGAAGAGGCCUGGGUGCAAGCACCUGGGGGAGCAGCUGCACCUGAUCUGAGCCCAGAAGCUUAGGCUGUCUAAAGGCUCCCACCCAUGCAC
rnacentral:lncRNA from 1 species